AGGGCAGUAGCUCAAUUAGGCAGAGCACUGGUCUCCAAAACCAGGGGUUGGGGGUUCGAUUCCCUCCUGCCCUGCAA
rnacentral:tRNA from 2 species